rnacentral:rRNA from 1 species
AUUGAACGCUGGCGGCAUGCCUUACACAUGCAAGUCGAACGGCAGCGCGGACUUCGGUCUGGCGGCGAGUGGCGAACGGGUGAGUAAUACAUCGGAACGUACCCUGUUGUGGGGGAUAACUAGUCGAAAGAUUAGCUAAUACCGCAUACGACCUGAGGGUGAAAGUGGGGGACCGCAAGGCCUCACGCAGCAGGAGCGGCCGAUGUCUGAUUAGCUAGUUGGUGGGGUAAAGGCCCACCAAGGCGACGAUCAGUAGCUGGUCUGAGAGAACGAUCAGCCACACUGGGACUGAGACACGGCCCAGACUCCUACGGGAGGCAGCAGUGGGGAAUUUUGGACAAUGGGGGCAACCCUGAUCCAGCAAUGCCGCGUGUGUGAAGAAGGCCUUCGGGUUGUAAAGCACUUUUGUCCGGAAAGAAAUCGCGCUGGUUAAUACCUAGCGUGGAUGACGGUACCGGAAGAAUAAGCACCGGCUAACUCUGUGCCAGCCGCCGCAGUAA